rnacentral:rRNA from 1 species
GACGAACGCUGGCGGCGUGCCUAAUACAUGCAAGUCGAGCGAAUCAAUAGGAGCUUGCUCCUGAUGGUUAGCGGCGGACGGGUGAGUAACACGUGGGCAACCUGCCUGUAAGACUGGGAUAACACCGGGAAACCGGUGCUAAUACCGGAUAAUCCUUUUCCUCUCAUGAGGAAAAGCUGAAAGUCGGUUUCGGCUGACACUUACAGAUGGGCCCGCGGCGCAUUAGCUAGUUGGUGAGGUAACGGCUCACCAAGGCGACGAUGCGUAGCCGACCUGAGAGGGUGAUCGGCCACACUGGGACUGAGACACGGCCCAGACUCCUACGGGAGGCAGCAGUAGGGAAUCUUCCACAAUGGACGAAAGUCUGAUGGAGCAACGCCGCGUGAGCGAUGAAGGCCUUCGGGUCGUAAAGCUCUGUUGUUAGGGAAGAACAAGUACCGGAGUAACUGCCGGUACCUUGACGGUACCUAACCAGAAAGCCACGGCUAACUACGUGCCAGCAGCCGCGGUAA